rnacentral:rRNA from 1 species
GACGAACGCUGGCGGCGUGCUUAACACAUGCAAGUCGAACGAAGUGGCGAACGGGUGAGUAACGCGUAAUCAACCUGCCCUUCAGAGGGGGCUAACAGUUGGACACGACUGCUAAUACCGCAUACUGAAGGAGGGGAAUGGUUCUGAUUAGAUAGUUGGAGGGGUAACGGCCAACCAAGGCGAUGACAAGUAGCCGGUCUGAGAGGAUGAACGGCCGCAUUGGUACUGAGACACGCCCCAGACUCUUACGGGAGGCAGCGGUGGGGAAUCUUCCGCAGUGGACGAAAGUCUGACAGGGGAACACCGCGUUAGUGAUGACGGCCUGCGGGUUGUAAAGCUCUGUUAAUCGGGACGCGGUACCGGAAUAGAAAGCCACGGCUAACUACGUGCCAGCAGCCGCGGUAAUAC